rnacentral:ncRNA from 1 species
CUAGAAAGUAGAGGCGCACUGUUUUAAUAGUAAUCCGGAGUAGGGUGACUCCGUUGGUCUGAGCAUUUCAGCCAGUAAACCGGAUGAAAGGAAAAAGUGCCGAAGUGGAUACGAUGGUCAUGUCGGUCCGCUGGUGGUGCAUCGAAGAGGUGUACUACUGUCACGGUUUUUAACUGUGGAGAGCUACUGGAAGU